GCCGGGUGCUGGCAUAGAGGAGGAGAGGUGGCCAUAAAUUUCAGAGAAUCUUCCCAGCCUCCUCUAAUCCCAUGCCAAGAAAUAUGACAGAUUCUAGGCCCAGAGAGGCCAAGAAGAUGAAAACAUUUCUGGCACUUUCUAAAGUUUCUGUCCAGAAAAGCCAUCAGCUGAAGGGGCGCAGGAUGACAAAUGGCUGCCGGAUCUGCAGGUUCCGGGUUCUGAGACAGGAACCCUGCCACAUCAUGUAAACAAUCCCGGACUAGCCUGCUGGAGGAAGAUAGACUGUGGAACAGAAUUGAGUUCCACAAGGCUCCAGAGACAUGAGAGAACCCAACUGAGAUCAGCAGAGCAGCUACCUCACCCAUGGCUGACCACAGAUGUAUGAGUGUGUCCAGAAGAACUUUCUGGUGGCCCCAUAGGUUUGUGAACAAUAAUAAAUGCUUAUCAUUUUA
ensembl:lncRNA novel transcript